rnacentral:rRNA from 1 species
UGGUUGAUCCUGCCAGAGGCUACUGCUAUCGAGGUUCGACUAAGCCAUGCGAGUCGAAUGUAGCAAUACAUGGCGUACUGCUCAGUAACACGUGGACAACCUACCCUUGGGACGGGGAUAAACCCGGGAAACUGGGUAUAAUACCCGAUAGAUCUCGGAAGCUGGAAUGCAUCGAGAUCAAAAGCUCCGGUGCCCAAGGAUGGGUCUGCGGCCUAUCAGGUAGUAGUGGGUGUAGCGUACCUACUAGCCUACGACGGGUACGGGUUGUGAGGGCAAGAGCCCGGAGAUGGAUUCUGAGACACGAAUCCAGGCCCUACGGGGUGCAGCAGGCGCGAAAACUUUACAAUGCCGGCAACGGCGAUAAGGGGACCUCGAGUGCCAGGUUACAAAUCUGGCUGUCGUGAUGCCUAAAAAGCAUUGCAUAGCAAGGGCCGGGCAAGACCGGUGCCAGCCGCCGCGGUAACACCGGCGGCUCGAGUGGUAACCGUUAUUAUUGGGUCUAAAGGGUCUGUAGCCGGCCGGAUAAGUCUCUUGGGAAAUCUGGCAGCUUAACUGUCAGGCUUUCAGGAGAUACUGUCUGGCUCGAGGCCGGGAGAGGUGAGAGGUACUUCAGGGGUAGGGGUGAAAUCUUGUAAUCCUUGAAGGACCACCAGUGGCGAAGGCGUCUCACCAGAACGGACCUGACGGCAAGGGACGAAAGCUAGGGGCACGAACCGGAUUAGAUACCCGGGUAGUCCUAGCCGUAAACGAUACUCGCUAGGUGUCGGCCACGGUGCGACCGUUGUCGGUGCCGUAGGGAAGCCGUGAAGCGAGCCACCUGGGAAGUACGGCCGCAAGGCUGAAACUUAAAGGAAUUGGCGGGG